AUCCAGCUGACGAGUCACAAAUACGACGAAACGCGCGUCAAACUGGAU
rfam:Schistosoma rodhaini strain Burundi genome assembly, scaffold: SROB_scaffold0000203